UCGGCCUGCGCGGAAGAUGUAACGGGGCUAAGCUAUACACCGAAGCUGCGGCUACGUACCUUAGGGUAUGUGGGGUAGGGGAGCGUUCUGUAAGCCGUUGAAGGUGGUCUGUAAGGGCUGCUGGAGGUAUCAGAAGUGCGAAUGCUGACAUGAGUAACGAUAAAGGGAGUGAAAAACUCCCUCGCCGGAAGACCAAGGGUUCCUGUCCAACGUUAAUCGGGGCAGGGUAAGUCGACUCCUAAGGCGAGGCCGAAAGGCGUAGUCGAUGGGAAACAGGUUAAUAUUCCUGUACUUCUUACAAUUGCGAUGGGGGGACGGAGAAGGCUAGGUGGGCCUGGCGACGGUUGUCCAGGUUCAAGUAYGUAGGCGGGUGGUUUAGGUAAAUCCGGACCGCUACUAACGCUGAGAUACGAUGUCGAGCUACUACGGUAGUUAAGUCAUUGAUGCCAUGCUUCCAGGAAAAGCCUCUAAGCUUCAGAUUGUAAGGAAUCGUACCCCAAACCGACACAGGUGGUCGGGUAGAGAAUACCAAGGCGCUUGAGAGAACUCGGGUGAAGGAACUAGGCAAAAUGGUACCGUAACUUCGGGAGAAGGUACGCUCUUAUCAGUGAAGUCCCUUGCGGAUGGAGCAGACGAGAGUCGCAGAUACCAGGUGG
rnacentral:rRNA from 1 species